UCAAACAAUCCUCCUGCCUCAGCCUCCCAAGUAGCUGGGACUACAGGUGUGCACCACUGUGCACCUCAAUGAGUACAAAUAUCUGGAUGCCUCGAUGGAAAAAGAUCUUCUUACAGUCAGACUGCCCAGAAAGAAGGGCAUUCUCUGACUCUAGAAGAACCAACUGCAAGUGGAGUGAAUGAUCCUGGGCCAUCUUUCACAACCAGUAGAGGACUGAAGCCAAUGGGUGAAAACUUCAGCCUCCUGUUUCUUCAGGUCCUCUGCCAGUUUCUGCUGUG